ACGGGAGGCAGCAGUGAGGAAUAUUGGUCAAUGGAGGCAACUCUGAACCAGCCAUCUCGCGUGAAGGAAUACGGCCCUACGGGUCUUAAACUUCUUUUAUAGGGGGAUAAAGUGAGCCACGUGUGGCUUUUUGUAGGUACCCUAUGAAUAAGCAUCGGCUAACUCCGUGCCAGCAGCCGCGGUAAUACGUAGGGGGCGAGCGUUAUCCGGAUUUACUGGGUGUAAAGGGCGCGUAGGCGGGGAUGCAAGUCAGAUGUGAAAUCCAUGGGCUCAACUCAUGAACUGCAUUUGAAACUGUAUCUCUUGAGUGCUGGAGAGGUAGACGGAAUUCCUUGUGUAGCGGUGAAAUGCGUAGAUAUAAGGAAGAACACCAGUGGCGAAGGCGGUCUACUGGACAGUAACUGACGCUGAGGCGCGAAAGCGUGGGGAGCAAACAGGAUUAGAUACCCUGGUA
rnacentral:rRNA from 1 species